UCUUCACUGUAGUAAAUAUUAAAGAUAUUGAAAAGGGUUUUUUUGUCUACCCUGGGCCUUUUGAAAGAUACAUUCUCAGUAUCAUUGAAUACAGCUAUGUUUCCUUUCCUCCCUAUUGCCCUUUCUCUUAAGUAUACAUCUUUCUGAUGCUGUUUCAGGCUGAUCUUACUAUCUCCUUACGGGGACUGAGGAAAAGUACUCCCUUUAGCAAAGACAUGUCAGCUCCCUGUGGAAUGUGAUCCGAAGAGCCAAGGGAUAGUAAAUCGGGCAGGAGCUGAGGCUGGAGAUGAAAAAUAAAAAUGCUGUUCAGUGCUAAGCCAUGUUAAAUCAAUUGCAAAGAUGAAGUCACCAGUAAAUCUAUUAUUUCAGGACAAAGAAGCCAGGAGCUGAGGGUGACACACAAUGCAAGCCAGGCAAAGACCUCACCGACCGGGCACAACCUGACCACACUAGAGAAAAACAAGCAGCACAGUGGCAGCAACAAAUUCAUCAGGCAAAGGCAAGGUAACAAGCCGUUUCCAAGGUCAGUCCAGGCAACCCAAACAGCAAUUCAGGAGCAGAACUAGCAGCAAGGACACCUACAACUCACUUCUGUUCUCCCAGUGUAAGAAGGACAUGGGCCUGCUUGAGCAGGUCUAGAGUGGGGGCCACAAAGAUGAUCUGGGGCUGGAGCAGCUCCGCUGUAAGGACAGACUGAGAGAAUUUGGGUUUUUUAGGCUAGAGAAGAGAAGACUUCAGGGAGACCUCAUAGCAGUCUUCUGGGGGAGUGUACAGAAAAGAUAGGGAAGAACUCUUUAUCAGGGAGCAUUGUGACAGGACAAGGGGUAAUGCUUUUAAACUGAAAGAGGGUGGAUUUAAAUCAGAUAUGAGGAAGAAGCUCUUUACUGUGAGGGUGGUGAGAUGCUGGAACAGGUUGCCCAGAGAACUUGUGCAUGGCCCAUCCCUGGAAGCAUUCAAGGCCAGGUUGGAUGGGGCUUUGAACAACCCAGUCUAGUGGAAGGUGUUCCUACCCAUAGAAUUAGAUGAUCUUUAAGGUCCCUUCCAACCCAAACCACUUUAUGAUUCUGUACUAUGAUUCUAAAGACCAAGUUUAAAAAUUAAAUCCUCAUCAGAGAGUGUGGUUGGAAGCCCCAGCUGAGGCUGGUCCAGGCAAUUAAGACCUGCAGUCAAGGCCCUGACAACUGAUGGAUAGGAAGUGAGACUUUGGGAUUAAAGGAAGGAUGCUAAAUUAUUCAGGUGUCAGUGAUGAGGGUCAGCACAUGUGUAAAUCUUUGUGAGAAAAGGUAAGGACAGGAUAAUAAAAUUAUUGUAGAUUUAUUUUUUUUCUAAUGAGGAGGAUAGAAUUUAAAUGUAUUGCAGUGUUUUCCUGUUUAUAUCAUUAUUUUAUAUUAGGUUAAUUACAGGAGUUUAGGAAAUUACUGUUCAUUUGUACUAAAGCAGUGUAACUCACUGCAUGCAUGCUCUUACUCUGCCAAAACUGAAAAAUAAACUAAGUCCACACAUUCAUUCUGCAGUUAGAAAAGGUUUACAGUGGUUGCCGUUGUACCUCAGCUUUGACCUUGCUUUCAGCUAUCCACUUGUAACUUAUAGUUCCUAUAAUGUAAGGCACUCUCAAGAAAAUAUUCCAUGCAUGAGCAGCAACUUGUUCAUACCUCACUGCUUGCUGCCUCAAAUUUCAGCAGAGUAAAAUGUGUAUUUAGAAAAAUGAAUAGAGUUUGAAUAAUAUUAGUCUUCAUAACCCUCAAGUGAGAGAGAAACUGAAGUACAGUCUGCAUAGUAUUGUGAAAUAAAUUCCUAUGUCUAGGUUUGCUCUUAUGAUUAAUGUUUGCGUACAGUAAAACUUCUUAUUCUUCCAGUCAAUGGGUGCCUAUUUGGUGGUAUUUUCUAAGCUCUGCUCAGUGAUUCUUGUCAGUGCUUUAGGGUAUUCACAAGUUAAAUUAAACAUUGGGCAUUUUAGGAGAAUGACACGUUAGGUAACAAUAAACCCAUGCAGCUCAAGAAAAAAAAAAAAAAAGAUUUGGUGACCCCUUCUUACUCUUAAGAAGAGGUUUGGACUAAUUUCUGUGUGAUCAAAGGACUGCUCAAAGGGAGAAAAGCAUACUGCUCUUCCAAAGUUUAGGAGGCCUGAUUGCAACAAGAGCAUGGUACUUCAAGUUUCAGGGACAGCUGACCAUACUUAGCAGUUUGCAAAAACAGACCUAAUUUUACUAGCGUGUCAAAUGGAAUCUUUCAGUUUUCUUAAUUAAAAAUGUCCAGGAGUGAGUGAGCACCUGUCAACAGGGAGCUCUUACACUGAAUCUCUUUUAAUAGUCCUUGUGGAAGGUGUUUAUGGAGAGAGAGUUUUGUUGGAAAUAAGGGUUACAACAGCUAUUCUUAAAAUACAGUAUGUUCAGGAUCAUGGCCCAUCAGGUUUUGCAUUUUAUUCUUUUGAUUUUUAUUAUGAGUGCUGAAUUUCACUUCUACAGGAUCCUGUUUUGCUCAUUUGCUUUCUAGAAUGAAGAGAAUUCAGAAAUCACUGGAAUGAUUUCUGAGUAUGGAGCAGGUCUGUGUGAUUCCAGCUUGCUAUUUUCCAUGUGGCACUGAAAGUCAGUGUCCUCUGCAGCUUGUACUUCACCAGUAACAUUGCAGUGACUUAAAUUUGUAUUGGAGUUUUCACUGGAGGGUACAUUCCACUUGCACAUUGAAUUAGGCUUGUUAGGAUGAUUUUAAACUAAAAAGAGGGAAAGCUAUCCAUUCUAGGACUCAAUCUCAUUCGAAUUUGUACCUGCUAUUUUAAUUAGAAGUUGUGUAAAGCAUAAGUGGAAUUUUGUCCACGAGUGCUUAUGCUGUGGUCCAUGAGAACUACAGAUCAUUUCAGAAUGAGAUGCUUGGAGCUGAUCCCUUGCAGUUUUGAGGCAGUUAAAGAUCAUGUAAUCCAGACUUGGUGCUAGGUCUUGUUUCUGGCCAUUUGUUCCUUCCUGUGCUCUGCAUUUCUACAGGUACUCAUACAACGUCACAGUGAUCCAACUCAGAGAACUGAUCUGACAGGAAAGUGAUCUGUUUGCAGUUAGAUCAGUUCCCUGAGUUGCACAAGCAGCACUAGUAGCACAAGGAAGGAUGCUUAAGUGUGGCAUCUUGGACUGAGAUUGAUUUCAAUGCUGGAGAAUGGCACCUACAUCUACCCCUUCACUGCCAUUAGUAGCUGCAGUCACAUGCUCUGAGCCCGGUGGCUCAGGGUGUUGAGUGCCCAUUGCCUUUGGGGCAAACCUUGUGUGAACCUGUACCUGCUUGGGCUGGAGAGUCUCUCUUUUCAGUGCCAAAUGUUUCUGUCCAAGUGAUAUGUGUGGGAUAUUGAUAGAGAUAUUCAAGAAAUAUGGGCUCAAUCUGACAUAAUGUAGUCCAAGACCCCAGGGAGAGGCUAGGAAAGGGCUAAAAUGGAAGAUACGUUCCUGUGAGAGCUUGCUCCCAUCUGUGCUUUUUAUGGCAUAAUUUAUAUUAUGAUAUUUUCUUCCCAUGACAACAUCUGGGCAAGAAACUGAAGAUGGCAUGAGUGAAAGCUAUUUUUUUGUUAAGUGAGAAAAGAUGCAUGCCUCCUCCUUUCUCCUUAGCCUUUAUUUGAAAUGUUUCUCGAUGUGCCUUCAAAGCACUGUUGCUUUGUAUUCAGCUCAGUUUCCCACACUUUGCCCUGAAAGCUCCAUAAUUAUGUUUUUCAGGAGUAAGAAAAUACAUGUGAAUAAACUGGUCGGUUCACAUCUUGGUUUCUGAAAAUUACAUACUGCCCUCAGUUUGCUCUUGAAGUCUAAAGACUAACUCACAACUGUUGCGAUAAAACUCGACCACUCCUGAAAUGCAUGGGCUGCAGACAACGUAUCAAAUAAUCAUUUAAAAAUAGACACCAACAGAAAGGCAGAUAAACCUCCAAGAUUUUCUUUGAAAGGCAAAACAAGCUGAUGACUAGCUAGUUAAAAAUGCAACCCUGUCUUUCUUUUACCUUGUAUUUUGUGCACAGAUUGAUUCUUCAUUUGGCUUGUGAUAUAAUGGUGCAGUGGAUGACAUGAGGCACAAGAGAGCAAUUAGACUUCUCCACACUAAAUUUACAUUAUGUUUCAUUAUUUUUUACAUGUUAUGAAUGUGCAAAAUGAGUACAGAUAGUCUUACUCCUAUUUCUAGUUGGCAUUAUAUAAAUUUGAACUGAAAAAUGUUCGCUUCCUUUUCCUCUCAUUUAGACGUAGUGCUGUACCUGUGAGGGAUGAUAUUGUUGUUACCGUAGGGAACUGUGAAAAUUAGAUGGAGAAUAUUUUGGGGAAUGAUUCCUUCUUAUUAGUAUGAUUCAGAGGUGCUUCAUCUGGGAAAAUAACAGAGGAACAUUUGUCAGCCAAAUUUAAAUAGUAUACUUUGAAAUAUUCCAUCACAACAUUUCUACAUCCUUUGAAUUGUCUCUUUGUUGGCUUGUUAUUUGGCAGUGGGGAUAUUGUCAGAUAUCUUACAGAUACACAAAGGAUUAAACUGCCUGGAGACAGUCAAGGGGAUCACUUCUUCCUCAGGGCUGGCUAGCAGAAGACAGGCGCUGAAGCAGCACGGAGGAACUGUGUCCACUGACUAAAUAUUUCACAUUUGAAGUCAGAGGAGAGGCUGUGGCUUAGCUGGAAUGAGUGUCCAUGACCUAACAACUUACGGUUUUUUCUGAAUUUUGCAAUAUUUGAUGGCAUGGCUUGAAGCCCCAGGUUCUGGAAUUACACAAUUGUGAUUGUUAAGGCCUUAUUCUUUUGAAGGGGAGACCAAGGAAACAACUGAACCUUAAGGCCCUAAAGACUAACACAGAAAUAAUAUGUAUUACAUAUCUGUAACAAUGUAUCUUUUUAUUAUUCCUGUUUUGCUUUGUAUUUACACAAUGUCAUGAUUUUUUGAGACCUGACUUCUGGAAGCUCAGAGCUUAGUGGUUUAUGAAAGUAACGUGCUGCUGGUCUUUGCCGUGCCCAUGAAGCAGCAAGUCACCUCUGCGCUGGGAUAUAGCACAUCCUGUGUUUCAAGCCUUGUUACAAGGAGCGUGGCUCAACUGAUUUGUACCAGCUGUUGAACUGGAUCUUUAGUGAUGCUUGAUGCCUCUGCUAGGUUUCUAUCAAGGGUAAAAUGCUUGCAUUGAAGAACCAGAAAAUGGGCUUCGUAUCAAAUAAAAUUUCUCAAAGCUGGUAAUUUCCAUUAGGUAUUGGGGAUAUUUGGGAGAUUGUAAAGGAAAUAAUCUGAAGAAUGAUUGCAAAACAGACCGGUAUGCAGACAUAGGAUGGAGUCUGAAGUCUGUCACAAGGAACAUUAUUCUGGCUGUGAAGGCUCGAUAUGGUGAUGUCUCCUGGCAACUUGUCCCUUCAGCUCCCCAGGGAACCUCUGCCUGUGACAGCCUGGCACUACUUGCUGUCUGUAGAAAGCCUACGCCACUAUUCCUGCCUACUAGCCACCAGCAAACACCUCCACAGCAAUCCACUGUGUGAAUGGCCUGUGAUUUCAUAUUCCUGCGUAAUCCCUCUGACAGCCAACCCUAUUAAAAAUUCAUUUCCAUCCAGGCAAAUCAGACUCCCUGAAAUCAAUUGAGCUUUGUUCUCUGAAGGCAGCUUGUGCUGGUGCACAUGUAAUCAAAUCCUGAGGUACCUUGCAUGCAUUUUUACGAGCACUGAGAUAGACUUCAUGUUUCAAUUAUUCUUUUUGAUGUGCAUUUUUGAAGGAAAUUAGAAUAUUAUGCUCAAGUAAACCAACUGGUUUAGAUCUUUCAAAAGAAGUUCCAAGUGAGCAAGCAGAGUUCCUGCCUUUUCUCAGCCGGUACUGACUAUGCAAGUACACACAAAUAUCUCUCUUUGCCAUGCAGCAUAAAAAUAGGUAAGGAGUUGACCUAUGAACUCAGUCUAAAUUUCACCUCUGUCCAUUUGCCUAUUAUUUUCCAAUAGCUGGCUCUUGGCAGCAGUAUUUUUGGUAGGCAUUUUGAAUUGCUCUUCAGAAGUCUUCGGGGACACCUAAAUCAGUCCACUGAUUAAGUAAAUGGAUUUUAGAAGUAUGUAGACCUGCAAUUAAUGAAAAGCUACUCUAAUUCUACCUGAAAAGAAAACAGAAGAGCAUGGGUGUUGGGCAAACACAAUAAGUGGUGUUCAUAGCAGCAGAGGACUGCCCAAAUACACUGCAUUGAGGAGAUCAAAAGGCAUCGAGCGUGCAGGCUCCUUUUAGAUCAGUCUUUUCAGCAUAGUAUUAGCAUCUCUACAGUUGCAAUGCCUCUUUUUUUCUUCCCAAGCUGGCUCUCAAACCCAAAGUGAAAUAGUGAAAGCAUAAGAGUUUAACUUCCCAGCUGAUCAGCGGAGACAGCCAACACAGAUCUGCACGAUACCUGAAAGAUCGAAUGUUUCACACACUGAGCUUGCCUGUUUCCAGCAGGUUUUCAGAGGAACUGUACCCUCUGCAUCGUUCCCAAGCCUUUGCAACAGCAGGAGGGGUGCUAAUAGCAGUGAUAGUCAUGAUUCAUUUGUCUUUCCUUUUUGUUUAUACUAAUAAGAGGAUAGUCAGCUUAUUAUUUAUAACCAGUCUAAUUUCCAUUAGACAUUAGGGAUCAAAGUAGCCACUAGAUACUUGCCAAAACCACUGAGCUCAAAUUGGAGAUUCUUUAACAGCUCUGUCUGGGCCACCAUUUUUUUUUGUUUGCAUGUUUAUAUAGCAAUGAAUCAUACUGUGAAGAUCAAUACCAGAAAUAUCUUUGUUUGCAUGCAUUUCCUGUUUAUGGCCGCCUUUUUACUGCCAAAAAUGCUAGAAAUAUUUUAUGCAGAGGCAGACCAGAAAUUUAAUAUUGUGCAGUGAUUUUCACAAAGAUAGAAGAUAAAAAAUUGUGGCUUUUAUUUUUUCAUGUCCUAAUGAUAUAUGCAGAGACAUUUAAGAGAGGUAUAUAGUCAUAUUUACAACUGGAAAACUGUUUUGAGAGUGUGUUCCUAUGCACUUUACAAAUACAUGCUCUUAUUUAGGUUAUCAACAUAAAAUAGUGAAUCUUCUUUCAAGAUUUCUUGCAUCAUAAUUCCAGGACAACAUUCAGCUGUUUAAAAUAAAUAAUCUUGCUAGAACUCACUCAGAAAGACUAGACCAGAUUCAUCCCAGGUGUAAUUUAACUAACUUAGGUCUAAAACAGAACUCAGUGUUACAUUUGGGAGAGUCAUUACUGCUGCAUGCACUAAUGUCAAAACAAGACUGUUUUACAUUAUCUUGUCCCUAGAGAAAACUUUGCUGAACUCACGAUUGUCCUGUUUGCUUCACCCUGUAGCAUACUUGUGCAUGGCCACCUGUACUUCCAUGUACAGUAACAAUGCCUUUCCCUUUCCCUGAUGAAACCAAGAGAUGUGCAGAUACUAACUGUGAUGUGACUGUUCAUUUAAAUAAGGUUUUGUGUUCCAGUGUUUCCUGUUAGUGGCACACUACAAAGCACUGUUCUUGUCACGGUGCCAUACUAAAAUGGUGAUUCAUGGUUAAGUCAGUCCAAAUGAAGGGUCUCGUUUUGGUUUGUCUGAUUUUUAAGUGUAUCACAGAUUAGGCUGACAGCUGAGGGUAGACUGAGAUCUUUAAUCAAUCCAAAAGUGAGGUGAAACGUACUUGGCAGAUGUACGGACAGGUCAGCUUUCCUUUGCCUGCCUUAGGAGAUGGAACCGUGAAGGCUAAGAAGAUUCUUCAUGCUUCACAGCAUGGUCCAUUUCUAAUCCUCUUGGUGUAAUAGCUCUGAGCUUUCAGUGGUGAUAGGGGCAGCUGGCCAUCAGAAAUUGGGCUGAGGACACUUGCAGGCUGCUUGGCAGCCAUUGUAUAGAACAGCUACCAGGUUGCUAUCAGGCAGUGUUGAACUUGACCUAAUGUCUUUGCCAUGAAGCAAAUAAUGUUCCUUUUCUGUCUCUUAUCAAAGAGAUAUAAUUGGCUGGCAGCACCCACAGUUGAUACAAUGACACUUCUGGCAUAAGUAGUAAAAUAAGUUAAUUUUUCUGGAUGUAAUGAGCUUUGAUAUUGAAGUGAUUCAUGUCUAAGAUCAAAAGGAAGCAUCUUCUGAAGCAGACGCGGUCCUAUUUCCCUCCAGCGCCUUAACUUUCUGUUACAGUAGGCAAUAUCAUUCCCUUUGGUUCCUCUAAACCUGGAAUUUUAUUUUUUAUUUUGUGAGGCAAUGACUUGGUGAGGAUUCAAGUGAAAUCUUCAUUGAUUCUGAGACUGGUAUUACAGAAGGUGCUGCUGGGAUAUAUUGCAGGUCCCUUACUGUUUUCUGUUUAUGAACAACCUACCCCAAGGUGCUAAUUAGCUAGGAGAACUGCAUAUACACAGAGUACUGUUUUGUUCGUCCAUAAAAAUACAUUUGUGGCUGAGGCAAAUUUAACUGCUUGGCUUAACUGUGAGCAUCCUGCAUUUCUGAAAUCAGCAAGGUAAUAGCAAAAAUUUGUGAGACUGGUAUUUUUCAUCUAAAAACUAAUUACAAAUAUUUGGUUAAUUCUUAAUAACACCUACCCUCAUUAAUGAUAUGUUACAUGCAAUAAACCCAUUUAAAUAUUUUUA